rnacentral:rRNA from 1 species
AGAGUUUGAUCAUGGCUCAGGAUGAACGCUAGCGGCAGGCCUAAUACAUGCAAGUCGGACGGGAUCCGGGAGUAGCUUGCUACUUCCGGUGAGAGUGGCGCACGGGUGCGUAACGCGUGAGCAACCUGCCCAUAUCAGGGGGAUAGCCCGGAGAAAUCCGGAUUAACACCGCAUGACACGCCGGGACGGCAUCGUUCCGGCGUCAAAUAUUCAUAGGAUAUGGAUGGGCUCGCGUGACAUUAGCUAGUUGGUGGGGUAACGGCCCACCAAGGCGACGAUGUCUAGGGGCUCUGAGAGGAGAAUCCCCCACACUGGUACUGAGACACGGACCAGACUCCUACGGGAGGCAGCAGUAAGGAAUAUUGGUCAAUGGGGGCAACCCUGAACCAGCCAUGCCGCGUGCAGGACGACUGCCCUAUGGGUUGUAAACUGCUUUUGCCGGGGAAUAAACCCCACUACGUGUAGUGGGCUGAACGUACCCGGAGAAUAAGGAUCGGCUAACUCCGUGCCAGCAGCCGCGGUAAUAC